rnacentral:rRNA from 1 species
GAUGAACGCUAGCGGCAGGCUUAAUACAUGCAAGUCGAACGGGAUUCGAGGUAGCAAUACUUUGAUGAGAGUGGCGCACGGGUGCGUAACGCGUAUGCAACCUACCUUUAACAGGGAGAUAGCCCCGAGAAAUCGGGAUUAAUAUUCCAUAACAUUGCAGUGUGGCAUCACACAGCAAUUAAAGCUCCGGCGGUUAAAGAUGGGCAUGCGUGACAUUAGCUAGUUGGUGAGGUAACGGCUCACCAAGGCAACGAUGUCUAGGGGUCCUGAGAGGGUUAUCCCCCACACUGGUACUGAGACACGGACCAGACUCCUACGGGAGGCAGCAGUAAGGAAUAUUGGUCAAUGGGCGCAAGCCUGAACCAGCCAUGCCGCGUGCAGGAAGACGGCCCUAUGGGUUGUAAACUGCUUUUGUCAGGGAAUAAACCUAUCUACGUGUAGAUAGCUGAAGGUACCUGAAGAAUAAGCAUCGGCUAACUCCGUG